UACGGAGGUUGCAAGCGUUAUCCGGAUUUAUUGGGUUUAAAGGGUGCGUAGGCGGAUUUUUAAGUCAGUGGUGAAAGCCUGUAGCUUAACUAUAGAAAUGCCAUUGAUACUGAUAAUCUUGAGUACAGUUGAGGUAGGCGGAAUGUGCAGUGUAGCGGUGAAAUGCUUAGAUAUUGCACAGAACACCAAUUGCGAAGGCAGCUUACUAAAGUGUAACUGACGCUGAGGCACGAAAGCAUGGGGAGCAAACAGG
rnacentral:rRNA from 1 species